rnacentral:tRNA from 3 species
GCGGGUGUGGCGGAAUUGGCAGACGCGCCAGAUUUAGGUUCUGGUGCCCGAAAGGCGUAUGGGUUCAAGUCCCUUCGCCCGCACCA